AACGAACGCUGGCGGCAGGCCUAACACAUGCAAGUCGAGCGAGGUAGCAAUACCUAGCGGCGGACGGGUGAGUAACGCGUGGGAACGUACCCUUUGCUACGGAAUAGCCCCGGGAAACUGGGAGUAAUACCGUAUGUGCCCUUCGGGGAAGGAUUUAUCGGCAAAGGAUCGGCCCGCGUUGGAUUAGGUAGUUGGUGGGGUAAGUGGCCUACCAAGCCGACGAUCCAUAGCUGGUUUGAGAGGAUGAUCAGCCACACUGGGACUGAGACACGGCCCAGACUCCUACGGGAGGCAGCAGUGGGGAAUCUUAGACAAUGGGCGCAAGCCUGAUCUAGCCAUGCCGCGUGAGUGAUGAAGGCCUUAGGGUUGUAAAGCUCUUUCAGAUGGGAAGGAUAAUGACGGUACCAUCAGAAGAAGCCCCGGCUAACUCCGUGCCAGCAGCCGCGGUAAAGU
rnacentral:rRNA from 1 species